UACGGGGGGGGCAAGCGUUGUUCGGAAUUACUGGGCGUAAAGGGCUCGUAGGCGGCCAGCUAAGUCAGACGUGAAAUCCCUCGGCUCAACCGGGGAACUGCGUCUGAUACUGGAUGGCUUGAGUGUGGGAGAGGGAUGCGGAAUUCCAGGUGUAGCGGUGAAAUGCGCAGAUAUCGGGAAGAACACCCGUGGCUAAGGCGGCUCUCUAGUACGGUACUGACGCUGAGACGCGAAAGCGUGGGGAGCGAACAGG
rnacentral:rRNA from 1 species